rnacentral:misc_RNA from 1 species
AAAUGGGUUUCACCCUCCCCUUACCCAGUGGGGUUGUAUAUAUUUGGUUUUGGUAGUUUUGGGCGUUUUUCUACCGACUUGGGCUGCUCCCCUUCUGUUCUUUGGGUGGCUUUCGGCCAUGGAUACGUGAAAUGCAGAUCUGAUCUCUGAUCCAACAUGGUCUCUUGGUUCAAUGUCGUCAGGUCGGCGUCUCAGAGUCCUUAAGCAAGCACAAUGUUUACCUCCUGACCCUUGAACGCAAGCCACCAAUUGAGCUCUGGCAGUCGAACGCUUCACCGCAUGUCACUGAGUUCGACUAACUCUAUGCUGUGGCCCCCGACUGUUCUUCUGGAAUAUGUGUUUUGGGCGUGUGUCCUAUGUUUCUAGUGCUUUACUUUGGUUUUCAAAAGCCUGGAAGGACUCUUUCCACGGCUGCUGGUUGCUGGAGGCAGGCGGUAGUGCGUGCAUGUUUUCUUCUGGUUUGUGGUUAGUCUAAGGUUUACCUUUUGGGCCAUAACCGUUUGGACUACAUUUUA